rnacentral:rRNA from 1 species
AGCUCCAAUAGCGUAUAUUAAAGUUGUUGCAGUUAAAAAGCUCGUAGUUGGAUUUCGGGACGGCGCGGCCGGUCCGCCGCAAGGCGUGUUACUGACCGAGCUGUUCUUCUUCGCAAAGACUGCAUGUGCUCUUAACUGAGUGUGUGUAGGACUUGUGACGUUUACUUUGAAAAAAUUAGAGUGUUCAAAGCAGGCCAGCGCCUGAAUACAUAAGCAUGGAAUAAUGGAAUAGGACUUUGGUUCUAUUUUGUUGGUUUCUGGAACCGAAGUAAUGAUUAAAAGGGACAGUUGGGGGCAUUCGUAUUUCGUUGUCAGAGGUGAAAUUCUUGGAUUUACGAAAGACGAACUACUGCGAAAGCAUUUGCCAAGAAUGUUUUCAUUAAUCAAGAACGAAAGUAGG